rnacentral:rRNA from 1 species
UACAGAGGGUGCAAAUGUUGUUCGGAAUCACUGGGCGUAAAGGGAGCGUAGGCGGGCUCUUAAGUUAGGUGUUUAAUCCCGGGGCCCAACCCCGGACAGGCACCUAAAACUGGGAGUCUUGAAUAGUGGAGAGGUCGGCGGAAUUGGGGGUGUAGCGGUGGAAUGCGUAGAGAUCCCCAAGAACACCAGUUGCGAAGGCGGCCGACUGGACACAUAUUGACGCUGAGGCUCGAAAGCAUGGGGAGCAAACAGG